GAUGAACGCUGGCGGCGUGCUUAACACAUGCAAGUCGAACGGAAAGGCCCAAGCUUGCUUGGGUACUCGAGUGGCGAACGGGUGAGUAACACGUGGGUGAUCUGCCCUGCACUUCGGGAUAAGCCUGGGAAACUGGGUCUAAUACCGGAUAGGACCACAUUUUGGAUGGUGUGGUGGAAAGUUUUUCGGUGUGGGAUGAGCUCGCGGCCUAUCAGCUUGUUGGUGGGGUAAUGGCCUACCAAGGCGUCGACGGGUAGCCGGCCUGAGAGGGUGUACGGCCACAUUGGGACUGAGAUACGGCCCAGACUCCUACGGGAGGCAGCAGUGGGGAAUAUUGCACAAUGGGCGCAAGCCUGAUGCAGCGACGCCGCGUGGGGGAUGACGGCCUUCGGGUUGUAAACUCCUUUCGCUAGGGACGAAGCGUUAUGUGACGGUACCUGGAGAAGAAGCACCGGCUAACUACGU
rnacentral:rRNA from 1 species